rnacentral:rRNA from 1 species
AACGAACGCUGGCGGCAUGCCUAACACAUGCAAGUCGAACGAAGGUUUCGGCCGUAGUGGCGCACGGGUGCGUAACGCGUGGGAAUCUGCCCCUUGGUUCGGACUCACUGUUAGAAAUGACUGCUAAUACCGGAUGAUGACGUAAGCGCAAAGAUUUAUCGCCGAUGGAUGAACCCGCGGAGGAUUAGCUAGUUGGUGUGGUAAGCGCACACCAAGGCGACGAUACUUAGCUGGUCUGAGAGGAUGAUCAGUCACACUGGAACUGGGACACGGCCCAGACUCCUACGGGAGGCAGCAGUGGGGAAUAUUGGACAAUGGGCGAAGGGCUGAUCCAGCAAUGCCGCGUGAGUGAUGGAGGCCUUAGUGUUGUAAAGCUCUUUUACCCGGGAUGAUAAUGACAGUACCGGGAGAAUAAGCUCCGGCUAACUCCGUGCCAGCCGCCGCCGUAA